GUGAAUAAACUACCGGUAUAUCUGCCCAGUGAAUUUUCAACGGCCGCAGUAUCCUAACUGUGCUAAGGUAGCAUAAUAACUAGUUUUUUAAUUGAAAACUCGUAUGAAAGAAUCGACGAGGGGAGACCUGUCUCAAUAAUUCUAAUAACUUACUAUGAGGGUAAAAAAGCCCUAAUAUUCUAAUGGGACGACAAGACCCUAUAAAACUUUACUCCUCCUCCUAAUUUAGUUUAUUCUGUAUAGGAUUCGAGUUAUACUGGGGCGGUAAUUUUUAACUUAAACAUUUAACACCUUAACAUCCUUCAUGAACUUACUAAACCCUUCUAAGUAAUAAAGAACAAGUUACUUUAGGGAUAACAGCGUAAUAUUUCUAUAGAGUCCUUAUCGACAGAAAUGAUUUCGACCUCGAUGUUGAAUUGAAGAUUCUUUGCAGAGCAG
rnacentral:rRNA from 1 species